rnacentral:lncRNA from 1 species
GUUGUCCAACUGGUUAAGCGUUUCAACCUCAUAGUAGAGGUCGGGAGUUUGAAUCCUUUUGGCGGCACGCAAGAUUUUAUUGUUUUUGAGACAUUAUUUAUUAAAGAAGAAUUAAAAUAUAUUCUGUAUUAGUGACGCUUGAACCACUAACCUCUAACAAAAUUAAGCAACAACAAAAACCACUUGCUUUAGCAAAAAUUCAUUGUUAGUCAAGUUGACAAUAAAUAUACUCAAAAUUCUUGGAAAAAGACAUAUUUGGUACUAGUAUUUCUAAUGAGACUAUCAUUAAUAUAUUUUAGAAAAUAAAAACUCGUUGUAGAGAUUUAUAGUAAUGUUUUGAAUUUUGUUUUUUUUUUAUAAAUAUGAUGUCAUUAUAGUUAUUCAUUUGUUUACUUCUUUGUUCACCUAUUACAAAAUGUGACACCGCUUACAAAAAAUUCUGCGUACGCUACUGCUAUUCACAAUGGUUAACUUGAGAAAUAAAUAUGUGGCAGCUACACGGUUGGGUAAAUCAAUUUGAAGUAUUGGACUCAAGAAUUCUUAAAUCAAGCACAAGAGUAUUUCAUGAAAAUCUCCGUGUGUGUUCGAGUAACAGUUGUUCUACAAACAUGCCAUAAUACCCUUCUCCUCGAUAUAGUAAAAAGUGCAACUAAUCGUUUUAUCGUGUAUGACUUAAUUUUUAUUCAAUAAUAGAGAUAACUGUUUCAAUUUAAAAACUAAUAAAUAGCACCUGUCUAGCUAUCAAAUUUCAGAGUAAAAAGGUUUAUUAAACCAAUGUAAACAAACUAAACAAAAUCUCCUUUUGACUCUCUCAAUAGUUAAUUAAGUAAAAAAACAAUGAAAAAGAGAGACAUGCAACUCGAAACAGAACAGAGAAAUUUACUUAAACUUUCUUUCAAAAAGAAGGGGGAAAAAUGCAAGCAACAGAGAAGAGAAGAUGUAAAAUUUACCUGUUUGCAACAAUACAAAUAACAGUGACGUCGGCAGCCCACCUUCUUAACCGAAAUUGAACCGAACCUUGACACUUCAAAAAGUAGCAAAAACUAGAAAUUCACUGUCAAUAUAUUUGUUGCUGGAAUGAAAAUUUUCUUUCUGAAAUAUUUUUAAGGGUAAAUUGGAAGCCGUAAAUAACAAUAACUGCUAAUAAAGGUCAAAGAAAGUCGAAAAGGGGAUCAUAGCCGUUGUGAACACCAUCUCUGAUGCAAUUCCAGAUAUUUAUUCCAAAAUAGAAUAUUUCGUCAUUUGUUAUAUUUUUAUUUUGGAGAGGGGAUUAAUUUUCUCGUAAUGAUUUUGUAAAUAUGUGAAAACUUGCUUCUAGAUUAAUUAGUAGACGUUACACCCUUUUGCAUGAGAUGAUCCUUAAAAGUGACUUUUUCAAAGGACCACAACCCUUUAUAUAUGAGUAAAGAAACAUGGGUUUGGAUAAAUUAGAUUCUUAGUGACGGUUUAAAUAGGGAGUACUUAUAGGGGCUUUCUUGUUAGAAAACCAAAUUUAUUAAGACAAGGGUAAUUUUGUAAUUUGACUUUCAACUAAAGAGUUUCAUGUUUUUAAUAUACUAAUUUCUGGACACGUGUGUCCCAUGUCAAAUAGUGAAAACUAUAAAAAUUAUAUUAAAUUAUAAGGUAAUGGUGAAAAUUUUGAAGUGAAAAAGUGCAAGUCCAAAUUGAUGGACGGGUCUAUUCGAAUGACUACAUUAUAAAAUUACGUAGAUAUUAUUUAAAAGUAUUUUUAAGUUAUAAAACAAAAAUUAAAGGAAAAAAGUAUAAUUACCUAAUAUCGGGUAUGAUUAUUACUUUCUUGCCUUGUCCCACUCCCACCUCAAUAAAUGAAUUAUCCUUACCUUUAUUUGAUUUAGAAGUUGAGGCAAAAUAGUGUAAUGUACUAACUUGUAUUCAUAUUAUUCGUAAUGCUAUUUUAAACAUUUUAUGACCUUCAUACUUCUACAAGGAAACAACAUGAAAAGUCAAGCUUUAACGUUGCAAGCUUGCGCAAAUCUAAGAAGAUGGAAUUUUAAUAUCUUUAAUAUGAGAAACAUCACAGUUAUUGGCAUAUUGAAAUAAUAUUUUUAAGCUUCUUCCGGUCGAAAAUAUUAAUGCAGAUAAAGUGUAAUUCCUGAUAAUUUAUAAUAUCAAGGACUUUUAAUAAUUUAACUUUUAUGCUAAGGGGCUUUUCUGCUAUUAAAAAAAAACUGUUGGUUAUCGUUGGUUGACAUUAAUUUUAUCAAAAGGAAACCUCAUGACAGUCAAUUGAUUAGAAGUUACAAUAAUUAAAUACUUUUAUUAGUCUAAAGUUUGAACAUGUCAAAUAUUGGAGGAUUAAGUGCUGAUCAUAUUGGAGGAUGCAACAACUUGGUUAUUAAAAGAAACCAGUGAAAUAUAAAGAUGUAUUUAAAGCUAGUGAAAUCUUAUGUAUCGCUACAUUAAAUUUGAAUUUAUAAUUCUUAAACACAAUAAAUUCAAUGCUAAGAACUCAAAAUAUUAAAUUAUCAAAUAUAAGUGUUGCAUUAGCCACUUGACAGAGAUGGCUUAACAGUUGAAGAUUCUUCAGAAUGAUAAAUCUGGAAAAAUUGAAGUUCAAUCUCAGUAGAGGCAACCCCUUUCCUAUUUGUACUAAUUAAGGGCCAGUUUGGCCAUAUUCGAAUUUGUUUUUAUAUUUUUUUGAAAUUGGUGUUUGACCAUGAAAAUUUUAAAUUUUAUUUAAAGUUGAGUUUGAGAAUUUUUUGAAAAUUUGAAAACUCCAAAAAACUGUUUUCUAAAAUUUUUAUGUCAAAACACUCUGAAUAAACAGCUCCAAAUUAGAUUUAUGUAACAAGAGAACUCAAAUUUUUAAAUAGCAUUUUUACUUGAAUUGUGUUUUAUUUUUUCCCGAAAUUUCACAAUUCUUUAUGUCCAAGCCCACUAAAACUUUGGUGAAUAGUUGAACAGGUACACCCGCAGUGUGUUUUUUAGAAAGAAAGAGAAGAAGAAAUAUGAAAGCCAUAAAAAGUGGGUCCCAACACAACAUAUUUGGGGUCUUAUGUGUGGUGGCAAACAUGCUAUCGCUAUCCGACAACUGAAUUGCCAAAUCAACAUCGCACUACCUCAGUUCUUUGUUGAAUAGUCGUGUCCCAGUUGCCUUUCCUAUUUUAUAUUGUUCAGAGUCUUCAGUCAUUCUUACAACGAUCAAUCAAGACCCAAAAAGAAAAAGAAAAAGAUACGCCAUCUUCAGAUUGUUGAAUAGAGAGGAUGGAAGGAGGUAGAUUUGUAGGGGUGGCAGUGGAUUUCUCAGCAUGCAGCAAGAAAGCUCUGAAAUGGGCCAUUGACAACAUCCUUCGUAAAGGGGAUCACCUUAUUCUGGUCACUGUUCGCCCUGAAGGUCACUAUGAAGAAGGCGAGACGCAGCUCUGGGAGGUCACUGGUUCUCGUAUGUUAUGAUUUCUCUUCUCUUCUCUUCUAUCCCCCCAUUAAUUGUUCUUUUUGUUUUCUUACAUCUUUUUCUUACUUGUCUAGAUUUAUCUAAUCCAACCCCAAAAUGAAAAAUAAUCGAUCUUGCUGUUAGACUUCGUGUAAUUUGUUGCUGUAGAAUAUGGUUUUUCUACGCAUAUAGAGGAGGAGGGUUGCCAUAGGUUGACAACUGAGUAUAAAUAUAGUUUAACUAUAAUGAUGUGUACUCUGAUUCGGUAAUAGGAUUCACAUAGUGAACCCCCUAAUAGUUGGCGUAGUUGAUCGAUUUAUAUGUAGGUCCUCUAAGCCAUUUUUGUGUUUUGGGUGCCAAGGUGAAAUUAACUAACUGAAAUAGUGUUCAUUACAAUCUUUAUUGCAAAUACUGGUAGUUUUGCAAGAGAACCUGGUUUCUUUUGUCUAGAUUGAAGGAACUUGUUUUUUAGCUAAAGAAUUUGAAAGCAAUUGUGUGCUGCUGAAAAGUAUGGAGCUUUUAUGUCUGUCCUAUUAUAUAUAUUCUUAUCCAUUUGGGUGCUGGACUUUGUAGCUUUGGGCAGAGCUAAUAGUUCAUAGUUUCUGUAGGACAGUAGAUAUAUAUGGGUAUCUCUGUUGAUGUACCCAGGGGCGGAGCCACCUUUGCUUAAGCGCCGUCCGAAAAUUUUGCUAAAUUUAUAUAUUUGAUUAGUAUGCAAAAACGAAAUAACAAUAAAAAAGAUUGAAAUGACAUUGCUAUCACAUGGAAAGUCUCAGCUCUCACGGUUAUAUCUCCUCUGUUAUGUAAUUUUGUGGUUAAUAAUAUAUUACAUCCGUGCUCUAAGCAGUAGGGAUGGAUGAUUUAACCCAAAAAAAAAAGUCUUGGUCAUUAAUCAUUAUGGGGAUAGGAAACAAGAUUGCAUUGAUAGUUGUUAAGUCUCAACAAUUACGAAUAUUAAUAUACCUUCAGCAAAGUGUUUAAUCUUUUACUGGGUAAAGCGUUGCAUGUCCGGAAUCAUCAAGUUCAUGCUUGCACCUUUUAUUUAUGAAUAACCUUUUUGACAUGUCUAGCUGCAAAGAGUUAUACUAGCUUCCUGAGAACCAACAACAUAAUGCCUAGUAUAGUUCCACAAGUGGGGUUUAGGGAGGGCAGUAUGUACGCAGAUCUUACCCCUACCUUGAGAAUAAGGGUGGCAUGUGGGUCGGUUAGGACCGGGCCCGGCCCAGGACCGCAAGCCCAAAUGGGUGGUGGGCCUAAACGGUCCUAACCGAAUAGGAUCAGGACCGUGGGGAGGUGGGCUGGGUAGUGGGCCGGUCCCAUAGGCGAGGGCCGCGAGACCGGGGCCGCCUGGGAAGUGGGCCGGUUCAAGCGGUCCUAAACGGGCCUAUCCGGGCCCAACUGCUAAUUUUUUUUUAAAAAAUGCCACAUUAUAGCCGUUAUGGCAUUUAAAAUAUGGCCGUUUUACCUGCCAAAAUAGCCGUUGGCUAUUUAUAAAAUAGCCAUUUAACCCCCCAACUUUGUUUUAACCCCAAACU